rnacentral:rRNA from 1 species
UACGUAGGGUGCGAGCGUUGUCCGGAAUUAUUGGGCGUAAAGAGCUUGUAGGCGGUUUGUCGCGUCUGCCGUGAAAAUCCGGGGCUCAACCCCGGACUUGCGGUGGGUACGGGCAGACUAGAGUGUGGUAGGGGAGACUGGAAUUCCUGGUGUAGCGGUGAAAUGCGCAGAUAUCAGGAGGAACACCGAUGGCGAAGGCGGCUCUCUGGAACGCAACUGACGCUGAGACGCGAAAGCGUGGGGAGCAAACAGG